rnacentral:rRNA from 1 species
UCUGGAGGACAGGUGCUGCGAUGGCUGUCGUCAGCUCGUGUCGUGAGAUGUUGGGUUAAGUCCCGCAACGAGCGCAACCCUUGCCUUUAGUUGCCAGCAGUUCGGCUGGGCACUCUAAAGGGACUGCCGGUGUUAAACCGGAGGAAGGUGGGGAUGACGUCAAGUCCUCAUGGCCUUUAUGACCAGGGCUACACACGUACUACAAUGGCCGAUACAAAGGGCAGCGACACUGCGAGGUGAAGCCAAUCCCGUAAAAUCGGUCUCAGUCCGGAUUGGAGUCUGCAACUCGACUCCAUGAAGUUGGAAUCGCUAGUAAUCGUGGAUCAGUAUGCCACGGUGAAUACGUUCCCGGGCCUU